rnacentral:rRNA from 1 species
UACGUAGGGGGCAAGCGUUGUCCGGAUUUAUUGGGCGUAAAGGGUGCGUAGGCGGAUUCGUAAGUCGGGGUUGAAAUAUCCGGGCUCAACUCGGGGCACGGCUCGAUACUGCGGAUCUCGAGUCAGGAAGAGGGUAAUGGAAUUCCCGGUGUAGCGGUGAAAUGACGUAGAUAUCGGGAGGAACACCAGUGGCGAAGGCGGUUACCUGGUCCUGCACUGACGCUGAUGCACGAAAGCUGGGGGAGCAAACGGG